rnacentral:rRNA from 1 species
GCCUAGCCGUAAAAUAUUUAUUUACACCUUUAACCGCCCGGGAAUUACGAGCCCAAGCUUAAAACCCAAAGGACUUGACGGUGUCCCACCCACCUAGAGGAGCCUGUUCUAUAAUCGAUUCUCCCCGAUAUACCUCACCGCUUCUAGCUUUUUCAGCCUGUAUACCUCCGUCGUAAGCUUACCCUAUGAACGCUUUUUAGUGAGCUAAAAGAUCUUUACAUAAAUACGUCAGGUCAAGGUGCAGCCUACGAAGCGGCAAGAAAUGGGCUACAAUUUCUACAAUAGAACACAACGAAAGACUACAUGCAACUUAGUCAUGAAGGCGGAUUUAGUAGUAAAAAGAAAAUAGAGAGUUCUUUUUAAUCAGGCGCUGGGACGCGUACACACCGCCCGUCACCCUCUUCAAACGCUUAAACCCAGUUUAUAACAAAUUUCUGCACCACAGAAGAGGUAAGUCGUAACAUGGUAAGCGUACUGGAAAGUGCGCUUGGAAUAACAAAAUGUAGCUUAACUAAAGCAUCUCGCUUACACCGAGAACAUGUCUGUGAAACCCUGAUCGUUUUGAGCUAAAAAUCUAGCUCUUCUUAUUCUUAUGAAUACCCCACCUUUUAACCAAUAAAUAAAUCAUUUUUUACAUAAAGUAAAGGCGAUAGAAAAAUGCCUAGAAGCUAUAGAAAACAGUACCGCAAGGGAAAGAUGAAAUAUUAAUGAAAAAUUGCAAGCACCAAAAAGCAGAGCUGCAACCUCG